ensembl:lncRNA
GGCAACAACCUGAGGAAAAACAAACUCAUUUACUGAGUAAGAUAUCAGAAUGCAAGAUAAAACAAUAUAAUACAAUACUAUUGAAGCUAAUAAAUCAAAUAAAAUGAGAGAGUAUUAAAACAAGACAAAAAAAAAAAAAAGAAGGUCUUACUCUAAUGCUGAAGGCAAAACUAUCUAGGGAGCACACACGCUGUUGACAUCAGUGGAGAGGAAAGGAGAGGGAUGACUGGUGAUCUACAAACGUUUUUUUUUCUUUCCCUCUGAACGGAAAAUGGAAACAGAACAACGCAAAGUUCUCUGAGCCUUUCUUUGUAGGAGAGGUGUUCUAGUCCCUUGAUCAUCUUUAUAACCCUUUGAUGGACCUUCUCCAGUAUGUACAUGUCUUGUACUGAGUGACCCAAAAAUGGCUACAUCGCUCCAGGUAUCCUCUCUCUCAACCUGCAGGUAGGAAGAGGACAUUUUUACAGACGAAAAAUAAGUAAGAGGCAG